GUCGUGCGGAAAGGCUCCUUCGGGAGUACUCGAGCGGCGAAAGGGUCAGUAACGCGUGGAUACCUGCCCUCAGGUCGGGGAUAGCGGCGGGAAACUGCCGGUAAUACCCGAUGACAUCUGCGGAUCAAAGGUGCGAUUCCGCCUGAGGAAGGGUCCGCGUCCUAUUAGCUGGUUGGUGAGGUAAUGGCUCACCAAGGCUGCGAUGGGUAGCGGGCGUGAGAGCGUGGCCCACCACACUGGGACUGAGACACUGCCCAGACACCUACGGGUGGCUGCAGUCGAGAAUCUUCGGCAAUGGGCGCAAGCCUGACCGAGCGACGCCGCGUGCGGGAUGAAGGCCUUCGGGUUGUAAACCGCUGUCAGGAGGGAGGAAGUACCAGAGGGUUCUCCCUUUGGUUUGACCGAUCUCCAGAGGAAUCCGGGCUAAGU
rnacentral:rRNA from 1 species